AGCCCCGUGGUGUAGUGGUCAGCAUAAGGGACUCUGGAUCCCUUGACGCCAGUUCGAAUCUGGCCGGGGCUA
rnacentral:tRNA from 1 species